rnacentral:rRNA from 1 species
AUGAGGACAGAGCCUAUGCAUUGGGCAAGGGCAUCUUUUCAGCUAGGCUCAAAUUGUGAGUCUGUCGACAAUAAUCUCUGUGAGUCAUUCAAUCACUCAAUAGUAGAUGCAAGGUUUUAUCCAAUAAUUUCCAUGCAAGAGAGAAUCAGGAAGAAGAUACUUGUUAGAGUGCAAGAACAAAGGGCAAAGAGUGAGAAGUGA